AGAGUUUGAUCCUGGCUCAGAUUGAACGCUGGCGGCAUGCCUUACACAUGCAAGUCGAACGGUAACAGGUCUUCGGAUGCUGACGAGUGGCGAACGGGUGAGUAAUACAUCGGAACGUGCCCGAUCGUGGGGGAUAACGGAGCGAAAGCUUUGCUAAUACCGCAUACGAUCUACGGAUGAAAGCAGGGGACCGCAAGGCCUUGCGCGGACGGAGCGGCCGAUGGCAGAUUAGGUAGUUGGUGGGAUAAAAGCUUACCAAGCCGACGAUCUGUAGCUGGUCUGAGAGGACGACCAGCCACACUGGGACUGAGACACGGCCCAGACUCCUACGGGAGGCAGCAGUGGGGAAUUUUGGACAAUGGGCGAAAGCCUGAUCCAGCCAUGCCGCGUGCAGGAUGAAGGCCUUCGGGUUGUAAACUGCUUUUGUACGGAACGAAAAGACUCCUUCUAAUAAAGGGGGUUCAUGACGGUACCGUAAGAAUAAGCACCGGCUAACUACGUGCCAGCAGCCGCGGUAAUACGUAGGGUGCAAGCGUUAAUCGGAAUUACUGGGCGUAAAGCGUGCGCAGGCGGUUACAUAAGACAGAUGUGAAAUCCCCGGGCUCAACCUGUGAACUGCAUUUGUGACUGUAUAGCUAGAGUACGGUAGAGGGGGAUGGAAUUCCGCGUGUA
rnacentral:rRNA from 1 species